CUGGAGUGCAAGAUGUAGGUUUUUGGAUUGGGCUCAAAUCUGAUAAAAGUGGUGAAAUGUGAUGUGGAUGGAUAAGCUGCAUGGUAUCCCACCUACCUCCAGCUGAUGCUGCAGAAGAUCUCUUGUUUUCUGGCAAUCCCUUGACACUAACUGGAGGCUGCAGCCUGAUUUGAGGAACCUCUUUUUUCUACAUUUUGGAGAGAACCAAUGGAAUAAACAAGUAAAAACACAGAUGUUCAUCAGGCAACAGAGAAAAGACAAAGUGCACAAAAGCCUCUAGGACCUGUUGGGAUGUACUUCCACUUGCAUGCUGCUAACACGGACUUUUCAAGUUCUGCUGGCUACUUGGGUGAUUUUUUAAAUUUCAGAUGACCCUCCACAUCCAACUAAAAUGAUAUCCUCCCAGAGCAGAAGAUGGAGGCCCCAAGUGGAGUCGGGCAGUUCUUUUACCAGGGACCAGCACCAUGGACAGAGCAGCUGCAUUCCUCCCGAGGAAAGCCUUUAUCACUCGUCCUUGCAGAUGUCUGGCAAAGAUUUGACCUAAUAGUCAAGAAUGUAAUGUUUGGGGUUUGUUUGUUUGUU
ensembl:lncRNA